GAUCAUAUCAACAUGUUUUUAUACUACAUCUAAUGUAUGUAAAAUAUAAUAGAUCAAAUAUAUUACCUUGCAAGUUAGACGUUCUAACUUUACUGAUCCAGGCUUGAGGAUGAUGUUACGAGCUGCACAUACAUUUGGUCUCUAGGAGUCAUCUACACGAGCCCACGAAUCACGAACAGAAGUCCUGUUCCAGGAAAUCAGCACAGUAUGCUAGUACAGUGCUGAUCCUUCUUCGAUGGUCGAUCAGAUG
rnacentral:lncRNA from 1 species